CUCCUCCCAUCUCCUCUCCUCCCAUCUCCUCUCCUCCCAUCUCCUCUUCUCUCUACUGAUUUGCACUAAUGUUGAGGGACCUGGGAUUUUUACAUAUCAACCUCACGAUGGAGACGCUACACUCUACAUGCUGAUAACAUACGCUAUAACAAUACUUUUAUAAGUUCAGAGAUUCGGUUCUGUGACGUUGCAUCAUGUGGUCAAAACCACCUUUUCAUUCUGGGGCGGAGAUGAGAGAUGGCGGAGCAUCUUUCUCUAUUCUAACAUCUGGUCUGUUCUUUUUGAUUUUCUAUUCCUCAUGAGGCAUUUGUUGAAUUAGGUACCAUUUCGGAUGCAACCAAUGAGAGAGCUCUCUCUCUCUCUUUCUCUUUCUCUCUCUGCAGUUUGGUUGGUAGGUAGAUUUGGGCUCUAUGGUUUAGAAUAGAGCUCCUCUCUCUCUCUCUCUCUCUCUCUCUCUCUCUCUCUCUGCAGUGUGGUUGGUAGGUAGAUUUGGGCUCUAUGGUUUAGAAUAGAGCUCCUCUCUCUCUCUCUCUCUCCCUCUAUGCAGUGUGGUUGGUAGGUAGAUUUGGGCUCUAUGGUUUAGAAUAGAGCUCCUCUCUCUCUCUCUCCCUCUGCAGUGUGGUUGGUAGGUAGAUUUGGGCUCUAUGGUUUAGAAUAGAGAGCUCUCUCUCUCUGCAGUGUGGUUGGUAGGUAGAUUUGGGCUCCAUGGUUUAGAAUAGAGCUCCUCUCUCUCUCUCUCUCUCUGCAGUGUGGUUGGUAGGUAGAUUUGGGCUCUAUGGUUUAGAAUAGAGCUCCUCUCUCUCUCUCUCUGCAGUGUGGUUGGUAGGUAGAUUUGGGCUCUAUGGUUUAGAAUAGAGCUCCUCUCUCUCUCUCUCUCUCUGCAGUGUGGUUGGUAGGUAGAUUUGGGCUCUAUGGUUUAGAAUAGAGCUCCUCUCUCUCUCUCUCUGCAGUGUGGUUGGUAGGUAGAUUUGGGCUCUAUGGUUUAGAAUAGAGCUCCUCUCUCUCUCUCUCUGCAGUGUGGUUGGUAGGUAGAUUUGGGCUCUAUGGUUUAGAAUAGAGCUCCUCUCUCUCUCUCUCUGCAGUGUGGUUGGUAGGUAGAUUUGGGCUCUAUGGUUUAGAAUAGAGCUCCUCUCUCUCUCUCUCUGCAGUGUGGUUGGUAGGUAGAUUUGGGCUCUAUGGUUUAGAAUAGAGAGCUCUCUCUCUCUGCAGUGUGGUUGGUAGGUAGAUUUGGGCUCUAUGGUUUAGAAUAGAGCUCCUCUCUCUCUCUCUCUGCAGUGUGGUUGGUAGGUAGAUUUGGGCUCUAUGGUGUAGAAUAGAGCUCCUCUCUCUCUCUCUCUGCAGUGUGGUUGGUAGGUAGAUUUGGGCUCUGUGGGUUGAAGGUUAGAACAAAUAACCAUACAGAAUAAGACGUGUUUGUUUUUAAAUAGCUGGUAUCUAUUCAUGUUUAAUUAGACAUUUCAAUCUUAAUACUAGACUUUGUUCUAGCUGUAUUUGUGUUCAGUAAUAGUCGUAUGUUUCACUUACUGCUGGUACAGUUAUACUCCAUGUUAUUAUGUAGGUAUCUUCAGUCAUAUUCUCUCUGGGAGCAGCCAGCUAGCGACACAGAGGACAGCCUUCUAUACUGCUCUAUCUCAUCAGUUGGGAGUAUAAUCUGCAACGUUAACGUGAUGUCUCUACGUCGUUAACGUGACGUCUCUACGACGUUAACGUGACGUCUCUACGACGUUAACGUGACGUCUCUACGACGUUAACGUGACGUCUCUACGACGUUAACGUGACGUCUUACGACGUUAACGUGACGUCACUACGACGUUAACGUGACGUCUCUACGACGUUAACGUGACGUCUCUACGACGUUAACGUGACGUCUCUAUAACGUUAACGUGACGUCUCUAACGUUAAACGUCUCUCUAACAUUAACGUGACGUCUCUAUAACGUUAAACGUCUCUCUAACAUUAACAUGACGUCUCUAUAACGUUAAACGUCUCUCUAACAUUAACAUGACGUCUCUAUAACGUUAAACGUCUCUCUAACAUUAACAUGACGUUUCUAUAACGUUAUUAAUAAUCCCUGGUACAGGAUGCGACAGAGUUUUUUUUUCAUGACUGAAUAAGAGAAAGGAAUGAAACAACCAGCCAGAGAGAUGGACCUUAUUUAGUAUUUUCGAUGUUGUUUCUUCUUCUCUGAUGAACAACUGUGUUGUGUAGCGGUAGUUAGUGCUAGGUAGCGCUAGGUAGGGUAGUUAGCGCUAGGGAGCGGUAGUUAGCACUAGGUAGCGGUAGGUAGCUGUAGUUAGUGCUAGGUAGCGGUAGUUAGUGCUAGGUAGCGGUAGUUAGUGCUAAGUAGCGGUAGUUAGUGCUAGGUAGCGGUAGUUAGCGGUAGUUAGCGCUAGGUAGCGGUAGUUAGCGCUAGGGAGCGGUAGUUAGCACUAGGUAGCGGUAGGUAGCUGUAGUUAGCGGUAGGUAGCUGUAGUUAGCAGUAGGUAGCUGUAGGUAGCAGUAGGUAGCUGUAGUUAGCCGUAGAUAGCCGUAGUUAGCGGUAGAUAGCGGUAGGUAGCCGUAGUUAGCGGUAGGUAGCCGUAGUUAGCGGUAGGUAGCCGUAGAUAGCGGUAGAUAGCCGUAGUUAGCGGUAGGUAGCGGUAGGUAGCCGUAGAUAGCGGUAGAUAGGCUGCGGCAGGUUGUGAAACUGACUUGUCCUUUACCUCCUGUACCAAAGCAGCAGACAUUCCUUCCUGUAGGAAACCUAGUACAGGUGUUUCAUUCUUCUCAGCUACUAACUUAUUAACGGAAAGGUGGUGAUUAGGGUUGUGAAAUUCCAGAAAUGUUUCCAAAAUUCCCAGAUUUCCCGGAAAUUCCGGUUGGAAGAUUCUGGAAAAUCCAGGGAUCCUCCAACCAACUAGAAUUUCUCUGGGGGUGCUAGAACAUGAUAAAGCUCUAAGGGUUUAUGAGGCACUUUUCAUCUUAACGCUUUAAAACCCUUCAUACAUGUCCUUACAUUCCAUCAUCCCAACUCAUAUCCUUUGGACAUUUUAGCAUAUUUACAUUUGACUAAAGCUACACUUCCUAAAUGCUACCCUAUGUCCUAGGCAGCGCCCUACGUUUGACCAGCCCUUCAUCUCCUCAGAGGAAGACGAGCAAGAGGAAGACGUUUGACAAUAUUCUCUUUUGGUGCUUUUCUCAAACGUGUCUGUCCAAAAGUAGUGCACUUAUGUAGGGAAUAGGGAACCAUUUGGGAUGGAGCUGAAAACAUAUUCUCUGAGGGCCGGGAUCCAGCUGCCAGUCAGCUGUUGUUGUUGUUAUUAUUAUUGACUUUUAAUGUUUAAUGAGUUUAGAUGUAAAGAAACUCUUCUAAUCUAUAGUAGUUCAUAACAGAUGAAUCGGUCUGUACUUUCUGUAAAUGUUACGAGAGAACGUUUUAUUUAGGCCAUUGUGGUGAAAUGAACUGUCUUUAAUGCAUGAACACAGAGGGAAGGGGACACUAGUGUCCUGAAGUCAUUUAUCCUAAAACACAUUUCAUUACCGUCACUAGGUAGUAGUAGGGUUGCCUCAUUUCUAAUAACUUUUCCUAAAAUUCCCAGGUUUUCAAAAAAAAAAAAAAUAAAUCCCGGUUGGAAGGAUUCACAGGAUCAGGAGGGAGAAGCAGAAAAUGUGUGAAUCCUCCAAACAGAAUCUGGCCGUUUUUUGGGGAAAGUUAACGUUAUUUUGGAGUCUCUCACUUGUUCUGCUUCGGGCAACACAAUUCCCUACACGCUGUAGGAAAAUCACUUCAUGACAAAGUCUUUUUUUUUUUUAUAUAGGUAACUAUAAGACCAUCAUUACGCUGUGCGUAACGAAAUGUACAGAGAACAUUAAACAAUCAUAGGUAUUUUUGGAGGAUCAAUGAAUUUGUUAAUGACAUGUAGCUAUUUAAUUUCCCUUAUUUCUUUUUGUCCAAUCAUGCAUUUUAUAACGUCUUGUUUUUGGUGUAAAAAAAAAAAACUUUUUUUUUUUAGAAUGUUUUUUUUAUUUUUUUUUAAAGGUUAAAGUGCAGGAACACAGAAAUGAUUUGAAAACACUGCAUUGAUGAUAGCCACUUGUGUAUUUUGGCAGUUAUAAUGUUGCAUAAAGGCCACUCAGCAGACAGUCUACAAAGACAAUAACGGUUAUGUCCCAACAUAUAUAAGGAAUUGUCUCAUUUGUAACCAACCCUCUUUAUUUCAACCAUGUGCCUCUUGAGACAAUUGAACAAAAAAAUAUAUCGUUGUCAUCCAACUUGUUUGACUUCUUUUUGUGAUCCAGUAAUAACAGGUGUAUAAGCCAGAUGGUCAUCCAACCAGUUUGGGAUAAAGAUGCUACUGUAUUAGCUCUGUUAUUUAAUGGAAGAUCCCAGGAAGACUGUGUGCUUCCACAUCUAUGAUAUGCAUCCAAAAUGGCACCGUUUCCCUGUAUAGUGUACUAGUCAACAGCAGAUACGAAGGGAAUUUAGGUACCAUUUCAGGUGCAACCAAUGAGACACUAAAUAAACAGUAUUCUGUAUUCUACUGUCCAUGCUGUUAGUACAUCUGUGUUAAACUUUCAUUUUGUGGCCUUGUUCCUCCAACUAAAAAGGUUUUGGCAGGCCAACUUUUUUUUUGUACUUAAGAUGAACAAUAAACUGCUCUUAAACCUCAA